UGUGGGGUUUUCCUAUAAGCAAGUCCUUUAAUAAUAAAUAUUAAGAUAAUUUAGUUCAUUGAACUCAUUUCACUUUAAAACAAGCGCAAUGUAUUUGGUACGAUAUCAUUGUUUUAUGAAACUAUUGAGGAUUUGGGCCACAAAAGAUAUCUUUGAUGUUGAAUCACCAAUUGAAGGGGCCAUAUAUCUAAUUAAAUUUCGUGAUAUUAUUUGUCUCCUUUGUGUCUAUUUAAUCAUUAUUUCUUUGGCUUUCGAAUCUUUUGGUGUAAGGAUAAAAUGCUAACAAGAAACAAAGGUAUCUCAUUUAGUUUGGUUAGCUCUUUUUUUGUUUUUUUUUUAUAAGCAGUUCUUGUUGCAUUUUGUUGAUGUGGAAUAUUAUGUUUAUGACUGAAUUUGAUCAAAAUAAAAGGAUAUUUUUGAUUUGGUUAAUGAUUGAGUUCCGUCUAGGACGAAACGUUUGAAAGAAUUCGAGUUCGAUUUUUUGAGGAAAUAAUUUUAGGAAAUAAUAUGAGUUUGAUGUUUCCACAAAAAAUCGAAUUCAGAUUCUCCCAUAAUGAUUUGUCCUAAGCUGAACUUAUUAACCACUUGAGUAUAAUGUGUUAGUUAAAUAAUAUUUAAAAUAUUAAAUAAUAAUUUAUAGAUAAUGUAUUUUUCAAUUAUUUCAAUUUUUGCAUAAAUUCAAUGCUUCUAAUUAUUUACAGUGUUCACAGUAAAUAAAAAAAAAAAACUAUAUAAAAGGGAUUUCAAGAACUAGUAGAAAAACAGAAGGGGGGAUUAGUAUAUGUACGAAAAGAAAAAGCAUAUAGAAUCAAAUGAUAAGUUUAAUAAGGGGGCACUAUAACUAUUAAAAAUGCACUCAAAUAGUGGUGGGAUUAUAGUUACUAGAAAAUGAUCAUCCCUCAUCCUUUUCCAAAAAUGGACAACUACACAAACUUCCUCAAUUCAUCCCAUGAUUAGCUUUUUCUCUCAACCCUCAACAUUACAAAUAGCUCCAACUCAUCAUUCUCUCAUGCACCAUUCAGCACAUCACUUUCUCUUAUUGCAUCUCUUUUGUUUAGUAUGGCAAGAACUCUUAACCGUAAAGGAGUCCUAAACCUCUGAUCGUGUAAUUGGUCUUGGAAUCUCUAAAAUCAACAUCGGAAAGGAAAGCACUUAAAGGUACCAAAGAAGGUGGACUUAACGAUGAUUGAAGCUUGCUUGCGAGAACGGGGGAAAAAGAAUUAUGGGUUUUUAAUAAAUAAAUUACAUCAAGAAAAUAAAUAAUUUGAUAAUCGUAUUUUAUUUUUGAACUAUCUAGUAUGUUUGGAAAUGCGGAGUUUCCGCUGGAACUUUUUCCACAAGUUUUCCUUUAUUUAUCUUUAAUAAAUUGUUUCAUGUUUCAACAGAUUAA